AGGUUUCCCCUUUUUUUUAGAAUUUAAUUUUUUUUUCUUUUUUCGAUUUCUAGGGUUUAAAAAAACCCUAAUUGCUUCUAAUUUUUUUUCGAUUCUUUGACUCACAUAUGCCACAUAGCAAAAAUUGCUCUUUAGCUCAGCAUUAAGAGCGUGCUGAUAACGUGUUGUAGGCAUAAUUUAUUGAACAAUUACGAAGGCCAUAGAGAGAGGGGUGCAACAAUAGUAGAGAUAAGAGAGAGAUGUGUAAUUGUGAGGUGUGUUCUAUUCCACCCCAUUGUGCCUUUAUUUAUAGUAGUAGAGAAGGUUAAUUCCUUACCCUUUUAGGAUUACAACUCUAAUAAAAUAAUAUCUAAUCCUAGGGAAUAUCCUAAGAUACCCCUAGAUACACUAGGAUUUACACAAUCGCAUUGGUAAUCUAAUAGGACUGCAACAUUUCUUUAAUUUUUUUUUUCAAUCUAGUCAUAAACUUACAACAAACAAAAUUAAUUAAUCCCACAAUUAACCAAAAAAUAUUUAACAAAUAAAAAAAAUAACAUUAAAUCAAUUAGUUGAGAGAGAGGGGAGAUAUGGGUGAUGAAGUGGGUGAGAGAGAGAGAGAGAGAGUUUUGCAUGAGGAGAGAGCAGCACGGCUCUGGGGAGGAAGAAUAAAAGAAAGGAGAAGGAGAAAGAGAAGGCACAUACCUUUUUAAUGAAUAUGGUUUUAUCCAACAAAAUGAUUUGUUGGGCAAAACUAAGAACGCGUCGAGUAAACAAAGUGUCAGAGGUUUUGACAAGUCAUUGUGGAGCUUUGCCCAAUGGUUAACAUAUGUGGCCCAAUGAAAUGGUUCAGCGGGCAAAGUUCCUUAAGCCGACGAGCUAAAAUUUCAUCGGGCCAAUGCUAACACAAUACGAUCCAAUAUUUCCCCUCUGAGCCAAUACAUUGCCUGGCGAAUAAUAAUUUGCCUUGCAAAAUUCUGCGGUAGUGCAGAGCCUUUGAUAACACUCGAAAUGUUGACCAGAUUUACCCGAUCACUUUUUUUUAAUCAUUUGGUAAAGUUUCUUGACCCGAUGGAAAAUGGUUCGUCCAACAAAUAUUCGUCAAGUAUAUGUCACCAACUUGAGGGAGUGAGGAGUAAGAGGGAAGAUUUAUUCUUAAUAUAAAAAAACUUUAUAAAGAAAUACAUGGUUGGAUUGGACCCAUGUGAUAAGUUCGUUGGUUUUUUCUUGCUUGCACAUAUUCAAGCCGAAGUUUGAACCUACCCACUAGGGUUGGGUUCGGUUUGAAACGGUUCGGUUUUUUGACAAAACCGAAACCGAAACCAAACCGAAAUUUCGGUUCGGUUCGGUUCGGUUCAAUAUUUUUUCUGUUUUUUUCGGUUCGAUUUUUUUCAGUUUCGGUUUUUUUCGGUUCGGUUUCGACCAGGUUCGGUUUUUUACUAUGAUUAUUUUUUUUUUGGUAAAUCUAGAUAUUGGUACUGAUCAAACCACUAUCUUCAUCUACAAAUCACAACAACAAUUAUAUUCAUUUAGGGUUUGCAGGAUUUGUGGGCUGCUAUUGAUGCAGCAAAAUACAAAGAGGGAAAAACUAAUUUUUUUUGGUCAAAACAUGAAUCUUUUAUCCAACACAAUAAAAAUAAAAUAAAAAAACUUGGAUUGAAUCAGAUGGAAAGAAAGAAACACAGAUACAUAAUCUGCAUCCCUACGCAUGAUCUGCAACCCAUACUUUCUUUGCCCUCUGUCCGUCUAUUGAAUCAAAAACCAAUACAUAAUCUGCAGCACUGAGCACACACCUAUAUGCAUCUCCACCCAUUUUUUCUCCAUAACUGAAAUGAAAACUUUAUGACAUCUUCACGAAUAGCACAAAAUCUAAAUAUUGAAUCGCAUACACUAACAGCAAAUCAAUAACCCAAAAUCCCUAAAUCUAGAAAACCCUAAGUUACUCUUCCUAAAUCCCUAAAAUUGAAUACCUUUUGAUUGAGAGAGAAUAGGGGAUGCCCCAGGGUCAGAACGCUCGUAACCAUGGGGAUGGGUGCUGGAGCCAAAGGGAGGACUGAUAGAGAAGAAGGGUUGUCGCAGGGUUACCACGCUCGCAACCAUGGGGAUUGGUGUGCUGGAGGCAGAAGGAGGACUGAGAGAGAAGAAGGGUUGCUGCAGGGUUUGCACACUCGCAACCAUGGGGAUGGGUGUGUUAGAGGCAGAGGGAGGACUGAGAGAGAAGAAGGGUUGCUGCAGGGUUUGCACACUCGUAGCCAUGGGGAUCGGUGCUGGAGCCAGAGGGAAGACUGAGAGAGAAGAGGGGACAAGAGAGAGAAGAGGGAGAAAUUGGAGGCAUGGAGGAAGUCUGGAGGUGUGGCUGCGCUAGGGAACGAGAGAGAGAGAUGAG
rnacentral:lncRNA from 1 species